UUAAUGGAAUCGCUGGCAACAUUUUCUUCUUGUGGCUCCCAUCCGUAUUGUGGUACUUUGCUGCCCCAUUAAAAGUGAUGGCUUCAGAAAGACUUCGUAGCUUCUUGAUCAUUUAUGAAUAUGUUGAAUAGGACUGGUCCCAGUACAGACGCCUGGGGAACACUACUAUUUACGGUGAUGUGAACACCCCCUGAAACACAACACUAAUGGGAAGCACCAAUCACCCCCAGAAAGCAGUGCUGCCAAGAGGGAGGGACUCCAGUUCUGUCACUGACAUAACUGUAGAGAGAAACUUUUCACAAUCUUCGCAGUGAACAUUAAACAUGAGGGGUGACAAAACAGUCGCACAAAAUGCUUCAUUAGGGAUCCCUUGCCACAGAUGGGAAGUUGUCUGAACCCAUCUUCAGAAACUGAUGCAACACCCACUGAAGUUAAUGAGGGCUUUUCCUGCGAGGUAAAUUCAGAACUGCUCAAGCACAAAUUCCUCCCAGCCAAUGUUGGCAAUCAAAUGAAGAGUUUUGACAAAGUGAGUCAGCAUGAAUACCUGACAGUUGACCAUUGUCAGAAGAAGACACCCCAUUUAUGAAUAGGGAGGACUCCAUUCAGUAAAAAUACUAAAUUACACAGUUUCGGUCCUGCAGGGUCAGUGGUGGCUGUAGAGUCUUUCUAUGGCAGGGUGUCUCUUGCACUGAGAAUUAUCUGCAUGCAUGUAUUUGUGGGAGGGUGGUUCUCUAUGCCACAUUUGAAUAGGGAAGUGAAGAGGUAGGGUUAGGAUAACUUUGUUUCCCGUGCUUCAUUGACAAUAAACCUGGCCAGGCACCUUCACUACUAAACCAAGUCUUGUGGUCUUAUUGGGCAGUUCGAUUGGAGCCUGCUGCAUGGGCUAUCUGGCC